rnacentral:lncRNA from 1 species
GGAAAGCUGUUAUCAUUAUGCAGAAAUCAUAUCUGUGGAAGACAAUCAGCAGGUUACUUUUGUCAAAUUUGAAAAAAAAAAUUAUCCUGGAGCACUAGCAUAUAAAAAUGAAGCUAAGAAAAUGAAAAAUAAUUUGACUUCUCUUCUCAUCAUUGUACCUCUUGCCGACACUCAUGAAUGUUUGAACUGACAACAAGGCAAACGGUGUGAGGUUUGAAGAUCCUGUACAGAAAUGAACCAUCAAAGACAAAGUGCCAUGCGGACACCAGAGUUGGAAAACAAAAGGAAACCCAGCAUUGUCUAUACAUUCUUCUCACAGCGUCCACUCUUGUUUAGUUUAGAGAGCAAGCUUUCUCAAGAUUCCAAAGAUGAAGAGGCCUGUUGGAUGCUGUUUUACUGUUCUGACUCCAGGCAGGGACAUGCAGUCUUGAGGAAACUCAAGAAUGGGUUGACACUUCUACCAGCCUUUCGGCUGCCGCAUGUUGCAGUGAUAUUAAGCCUGAUAAGGUGAAGUGCUUCUAGACUAACAAUACCCUGGAGGCUAAGGCAGAACAAAUACAAAGUUGGAGGCCAGCUUGUGCACAAAAGUUAGACACUACAUCAAAAGUGAAGAAAAAAAGAGAGAAAAGAGAUACAUACAGCAAAGAUGGGGAGGGUAGAAAGAAGAAUGAAGACGAAGACACUAAAGAACCACCACCAGCAACGGACUGGAUUAGACCAUACGCUUGUUUUGCUCCUUGAGUGUCAUUAUAGUAACAGUCCUGGAUGUAGGAGAUCCAUGAAGUAGAGCCAUUUGCUUGCAUCACCAUUCUGACUUCUGAAAGGUACGAAGAGCAUGGCACCAACGUUUGCCCAAA